CCAGUUGUCAGUAGGUCUACCCUAGAAUUUUCUCCAGUUGUCGGUAGGUCUGCUCUAGAACUUUCUCCAGUUGUCGGUAGGUCUACUCUAGAACUUUCCAGUUGUCGGUAGGUCUGCUCUAGAACUUUCUCCAGUUGUCGGUAGGUCUACUCUAGAACUUUCUCCAGUCGUCGGUAGGUCUACUCUAGAACUUUCCAGUUGUCGGUAGGUCUACUCUAGAACUUUCUCCAGUUGUCAGUA